GUGAACGCUGGCGGUAGGCCUAACACAUGCAAGUCGAACGGCAGCACAGUAAGAGCUUGCUCUUACGGGUGGCGAGUGGCGGACGGGUGAGGAAUACAUCGGAAUCUACUUUUUCGUGGGGGAUAACGUAGGGAAACUUACGCUAAUACCGCAUACGACCUACGGGUGAAAGCAGGGGAUCUUCGGACCUUGCGCGAUUGAAUGAGCCGAUGUCGGAUUAGCUAGUUGGCGGGGUAAAGGCCCACCAAGGCGACGAUCCGUAGCUGGUCUGAGAGGAUGAUCAGCCACACUGGAACUGAGACACGGUCCAGACUCCUACGGGAGGCAGCAGUGGGGAAUAUUGGACAAUGGGCAAGCCUGAUCCAGCCAUACCGCGUGGGUGAAGAAGGCCUUCGGGUUGUAAAGCCCUUUUGUUGGGAAAGAAAAGCAGCAGGUUAAUACCCCGCUGUUCUGACGGUACCCAAAGAAUAAGCACCGGCUAACUUCGUG
rnacentral:rRNA from 1 species